AUGCAGACAUGGCUGGAUGUUCUUCACUAGGCUGAUGAGUCAGAAGCCUGGACGGGCCAGCUUCAGUUUUAAUGAAGUGGCUCAGGAAGGAAGUGCUACCAGAGAUGGGUGCACAGUGCAGUUGGUGGGCGGGAGCUGACGCUGACUAGAAGACGCUGAGCCCCGGGAGAGGUAGCCUGAUUCCUGGAAAAGAGCAUUGGGCUGGAAGUCAGGAGGCCUGGGCUAGUCUCAGCUCUGCCACUAACGUGCUGCAUGACCUUGGGCUCAUUGGGAGAACCUGGGGUGCUGUGCACAGCCUGAAGCAAGGCUGUGGUCCCAACUGUGUAGCAGGUCCAGCUCAGCACCUGGCUCACAGUAGGCGCUCAGUGAAUGUUGAUUUUGACAAAUAAACUGAUUCAAGAAGUAUCUCCUGAAAUUGCUUCUUACCAGUCUAGCCAUCAAAUGCAGCAUUCUGGAUGGAGGUACCAGAGAUCACACCGUCUUUGGCUUUCUGCUGCAGACCCACAUGGAAAAUCCCACGUAAUGCAACCAGAAUCCUUAAGGCCAGAUAGGACUUUACAUUGGAAGCUUUAAAAUGUGAUUCUGGCUUUGAAAAGGAUAUAUAACACACAUAAUUUACUGUGCAUCGAUCUGACUAAUGGAAAAUAAACAAUAACUCUUAAAUCA